rnacentral:rRNA from 1 species
UACAGAGGGUGCAAGCGUUAAUCGGAAUUACUGGGCGUAAAGCGUGUGUAGACGGUUACAUAAGUCGGGUGUGAAAGCCCCGGGCUCAACCUGGGAAUUGCAUUCGAGACUGCGUAGCUAGGGUACGGAAGAGGGAGGCGGAAUUUCAGGUGUAGCGGUGAAAUGCGUAGAUAUCUGAAGGAACACCAGUGGCGAAAGCGGCCUCCUGGUCCAGUACCGACGUCAGGCACGAAAGCGUGGGGAGCAAACAGG